GUCUACGGCCAUACCACCCUGAGUGCGCCUGAUCUCGUCUAAUCUCGGAAGCUAAGCAGGGUCGGGCCUGGUUAGUGCUUGGAUGGGAAACUUUCUAAUAAAGUAAUUAUAAUUGGGA
rnacentral:rRNA from 1 species